UACGGGGGGGAGCAAGCGUUGUUCGGAUUUACUGGGCGUAAAGGGCGCGUAGGCGGCCACCGCAAGUCAGUUGUGAAAUCUCUGGGCUUAACCCAGAAAAGGUCAACUGAUACUGCGGGGGCUAGAGUGCAGAAGGGGCAACUGGAAUUCUCGGUGUAGCGGUGAAAUGCGUAGAUAUCGAGAGGAACACCUGCGGCGAAGGCGGGUUGCUGGGCUGACACUGACGCUGAUGCGCGAAAGCUAGGGGAGCGAACGGG
rnacentral:rRNA from 1 species